UCUAAUAUGGCAGAAUAGUGCAGUGGAUUUAAACCCCAAAUAUAAAGUAUUUCACUUUUUUUAGAA
rnacentral:tRNA from 1 species